rnacentral:rRNA from 1 species
ACGAGCGCAACCCUUAUCCUUUGUUGCCAGCGAUUCGGUCGGGAACUCAAAGGAGACUGCCGGUGAUAAACCGGAGGAAGGUGGGGAUGACGUCAAGUCAUCAUGGCCCUUACGGCCAGGGCUACACACGUGCUACAAUGGCGCAUACAAAGAGAAGCGACCUCGCGAGAGCAAGCGGACCUCAUAAAGUGCGUCGUAGUCCGGAUUGGAGUCUGCAACUCGACUCCAUGAAGUCGGAAUCGCUAGUAAUCGUAGAUCAGAAUGCUACGGUGAAUACGUUCCCGGGCCUUGUACACACCGCCCGUCACACCAUGGGAGUGGGUUGCAAAAGAAGUAGGUAGCUUAACCUUCGGGAGGGCGCUUACCACUUUGUGAUUCAUGACUGGGGUGAAGUCGUAACAAGGUAGGCGUAGUGCU